CUUUACUAUAGCCUGGAAUUGUGUUCGGGCUUCGCUUACGCAGGAUAGGUGGGAGGCUGUGAAGUUCUGCUUGUGGGCAGAAUCGAGCCAACGGUGAGAUACCACUUUAGCGAGGCUAGAAUUCUAACCCUUACCCGUCAUCCGGGAAGGAGACAGUUUCAGGGGGGUAGUUUGACUGGGGCGGUCGCCCCCUAAAAGGUAACGGAGGCGCACAAUGUUUCCCUCAGGCUGGUUGGAAAUCAGCCAUUGAGUGCAAAGGCAGAAGGGAGCUUGACUGCAAGACCUACAAGUCGAGCAGGGUGGAAACACGGUCUUAGUGAUCCGACGGUGCCGCAUGGAAGGGCCGUCGCUCAACGGAUAAAAGUUA
rnacentral:rRNA from 1 species